GGGGAGCGUCGCUCUACCGAUUGACGUGCUGGUGAAGCGUUAGGACUGGAGCUCUGGGCCGGUUCGCCUGCCCAUUGCUACGGGAAUUUCGUUGAACCCUCCCGUUUAGAGGAAGGAGAAGUCGUAACAAGGUCUCCGUAGGUGAACCUGCGGAGGGAUCAUUG
rnacentral:rRNA from 1 species